AAAAAACAUCAGACCAGGAUCCAGCUUGAGCUCUGUGAGGUGAAGCACUUCGUCCACGACCAUGCACAUGCAACACGUCUUCCUCAUCCUUGUCGUAGCUGUUGCCGCCUCUAGCGGGUACAGAUUGCCCAAGUACUGGAGGAACUUUGCUCAAUAUAACUACAUGAGUGACAUGGAUACACCUGACUACAUGGACGACGACUACAACUCCAUGUACAUGUAUGGAAUAGGAUGGGGCUAUCGCAAUACUGGGCGGGGCUACAACAACUUUUUCGGGAGAUACAACAGAUAUAACACAUUUGACAACCUGUUCUGAGGUAAGACGAGAAGACAUCUUUUCCAAUUGUUCAUCUACCCCUUUGGAAACUCAUAUAUGAAUUACAGAUGAAACGACUGGGAACAAAUGAACAUACCACUUGUCAAUGACUGAAUAAAAUA